UUACGGUCAUAUUAUGUUGAAACACCAGUUCCCGUACGAAUACCGAAGUUAAACAACGUCGAGCCUGGUCAGUACCUAGAUGGGUGACCGCUUGGGAACACCAAGUGUUGUAAG